UACGUAGGGGGCUAGCGUUGUCCGGAAUCAUUGGGCGUAAAGCGCGUGUAGGCGGUCCGGUAAGUCCGCUGUGAAAGUCGGGGGCUCAACCCUCGAAUGCCGGUGGAUACUGUCGGGCUAGAGUGCGGAAGAGGCGAGUGGAAUUCCUGGUGUAGCGGUGAAAUGCGCAGAUAUCAGGAGGAACACCAAUUGCGAAGGCAGCUCGCUGGGACGUAACUGACGCUGAGACGCGAAAGCGUGAGGAGCAAACAGG
rnacentral:rRNA from 1 species